rnacentral:rRNA from 1 species
UACGUAGGGUCCGAGCGUUGUCCGGAAUUAUUGGGCGUAAAGGGCUCGUAGGCGGUCUGUCGCGUCGGGGAGUGAAAAUUUUUACAGCUUAACUGUGAACGUGCUUUUCGAUACGGGGCAGACUGGAGGUAUGCAGGGGGAGAACGGAAUUCCUGGUGUAGCGGUGAAAAUGCGCAGAUAUCAGGAGGAACACCGGUGGCGAAGGGCGGGUUCUCUGGGCAUUACCUGACGCUGAGGAGCGAAAAGUGUGGGGGAGCGAACAGG